GUCCUCUUGCACGUCGCCCCUGGGAUAAUUUUCCCCAAUGCCCUCCCGUGCCCUUCCUCCCUCGCUCGUCACCCGCCACAGCCGCUGCACCCUUCCUCCCCUGUCUCUUUUCCUCCCACAUCCUCCCACGUCAGAUCCCGCUAGGCUCGUUCAUAUCUCCAUCUCUCAUCCCUUCCUCUGUUGUCGCAGCCCGACGCAGGCGGGGCCAUGGGUAGCAGAGAGGAGGAAGGGAGCUUCAUGCCCAGAAUCCAGUCGCCCUGGGCCUACACGAGCAGCUCCGCAGCUCGAUGUCUCCCCACCCGACAAGGACGAGGUGGUAGGUGUUGACAAUGGCAGGCCAAGGUCGCCAGAUCUAUCACCAUUGUUGUUCUUUUGGUCAAGACGGCCGUUGUCGACGUGCUCCUCCUAAAGCUCAUCCUCACCACCAUGGCUGGACGCUAGUGAGGUUAGCCUCCCCUCCAAGCGCAGGUACUACCCCAUUCCUUUUUGUGCCCUCUCUGUUCCCUAAUCUAUCUCUAUGUUGUACACGGAGCAGAUUUGUCCAACUCUUAGUCUAUAUUUAAUGCAAGAAAAUGCAGUUCAUACAAUGGCAGUUAUGGACAUGGAUCCAUCAUGCUGCGUUGGAUGAAUGGCUGGAUGGAAUAAGAAUUGCUUCCUCUAGAGAUCAGGCUGGGCUUGACUAGGUUUGGAGUCAUCUUCUCGUUUAGGAUCCUCAUGCUGCUUGACAAGGGGUUCCUCGCAAUGGUCAAUAUUCUCUUCGUCUCUGGUGUUUCACUAACCAUUGGGCUGAGUCAACUGUCCAGUUCUUCACAAAGCCUAAGAAUCGCAAGGCCAUAUACAUGUAAUAUUGAAUUAGGUACUUUUUCUAUCACUGGACUACACAAGUCAAUAGAGCUAAUGUUCAUCAUUAUUUUUGGAUCGUCCAUCUUUCAGUUGGAUUAAGGUUUUUUCUAUUGUCUGCAAAUGAAACUUAAUUGAUAUACCUUUGGUAUGAUAAAAGAAGUGAUUACCCUUUCCUUUUGUAAAUUUUUCUGCACACGAUGUUGUGGAGGUUGAUUUGACAAUUUAUGUGCUCAUUAGUUCAAUUACUUCUCUUCCCAUUAACUGAUAUUAGACAGUGGUGUAUAAAUGUUGCACCUGAUUCUAUUUUCCAAGGAUUUAGGAAUGAAGCUAUACUACCAGCAAACUGUGUCUCCUCUUUGCUAGACAAGGAAAGUAAAACUGAUAACCUACCAGGCAGUAAAACUACAUGGCUGAUCUUUGUUUUGUGCAUGUUAGGUGAAGAUUAUGAGAUGUUCUACUUCCCUUAGGAGAGUGUAUUUUCCUCUCAUCAGAUGCCCACUUAUAUUUCUGGAAUAAACAAAUCUUUUGUGCUAUAACCUAUUUUGAGUUUCGAUGCCUUGCCAUCUACCUUCUCCUCAGCUUUAUGUUGCUUCUAUAAAUUAUUUUUCUAGGGCAUUACCAUAACUUGCUGGUUUAGUUUAGGUGUGUAGGCGGAAUUUUCCAUGUGAUUGUUUGAAACUACAACCAGGUUGAAUGGGCUUUUGUUUAUUUUAUGAAGGAUUGAUAGUCUGAGAUGCAGUGCAUUUUGAUAUUUGAUGUUGCUGCUAUAGGAUGUGUUGCACUUUGAGUUGUGAUACCUGUACAUCUAAGUGGUUGAUGAGAUAAAUUAGGUAUUAGGAUUAGUUUGCACAAUUAGUCUGUACAUCUAACAUGCAGUCAAGAUUUUUUUCUCCAAGUCACAUUGUGGUUGUACCAGUGUACCUGGGUGUGUGUGCAGGUGUUUUUUGACAUCAUACACUCCCCUGUGAAGUGCGUGCUAAAUUUGGGCAUGUAGAUUUGAGGUGUAGGGUGGUGUUGGAACUGGUUGAUGCUACUAGGUUCCUCACAUGUUCUGUUCUUGGAGCGUGUGUGCCAUUACAAAUUCAAACAAUGUAUGCGUGCUCGCUUGGCUCUCACCAUAUGCCAUGCACUAGCUUUAUUUUGGUUCAACUCCAUGUAUGCAACUAAUGCCAGUGUAUUUUUAUGUCUUCCCUUGUCUCUUGAUUGUUUCCGACGUUAGUGAUUUUUUAAAGGUUUCUUUUGACUUUUUAUAACUUAUACAGUGGGAUAUGUAUGUGUGCUAUUUUUUCCAGUUUCAAGGUUGUAGCUCCAUUGCUUACCCUGGCCCUGAUCCAUGUCCUUAUUGGUAAUAUCAUUCCUUUUCAAUAGUAUUUUGCAUUUGUCUAUGUCUCUCUGACCAUUUUUGUCUCUGUGCUUCACUCUGAAUUGUCAGCUAUAGAUGUUGUCUAGAUUGGCAGCGUUAAUGGUACUGGAAAUUGCUCUAAUAUGCAAUCAUGUUUUCUCAGUGUGAUUUAGUUUUGAUGCUUUGAAUAUUCUGAGUGAUUUCCAGUUUAAAUAUUCAGAAUGAUCUCUAGAUAGAAUAAUUUGGUAUGAUUCAGUUUACUACUGGAGUAUUUACAAAGUUGUAAGUUUACUAGACCAUUGUUGUAAUUUACACUUUGGAUUUUUUUUGCACUAUAGCUUGAGCAACUGUAUUUUCAGUUCCAUCGGAAUUGUAACUUUCUUCAUCCAAUAUGUAAUUCCAGUUUGGACUUUCCUUC